AGUCUAGUUAAUUGAGGGAUAACAAAUGAGAAUGUCUGAGUUGUUGUAUAUUUUGUUCCUAGUGACACUGAAAUUCUAUAUAUUUAUCUUUUGAAAAAACACAAAAAUAUCACAUGAUGAUUUUCUAUAUGACAAAGCUUGAAUUCUCACCAGAGCCAUACAUGUUAUUUAGGCUAGAAAAACUUAACAUAUAUGCUGCAUGCUUUUGGAUUGAGUUUUGUCAAGCUUUGUUGAUGCCUUAUGAAGAACGAACCAGUUGCUGCAAAAGUACAAUGUUGAGG
rnacentral:lncRNA from 1 species